AUUGAACGCUGGCGGCAGGCCUAACACAUGCAAGUCGAGCGAGCGGCGGACGGGUGAGUAAUGUAUGGGGACUGCCCGAUAGAGGGGGAUAACUACUGGAAACGGUAGCUAAUACCGCAUACUAUCGGAUAACCCAUAUGGGUUUAGCUAGUAGGUGAGGUAAGGGCUCACCUGGGCGACGAUCCCUAGCUGGUCUGAGAGGAUGAUCAGCCACACGGGGACUGGGACACGGCCCAGAUUCCUACGGAGGCAGCAGUGGGGAAUAUUGCACAAUGGGGGAAAGCCUGAUGCAGCCAGGCCGCGUGUAUGAAGAAGGCCUUAGGGUUGUAAAGUACGUUCAGUCGGGAGGCGUUACCGACAGAAGAAGCACCGGCUAACUCCGUGCCAGCAGCCGCGGUAAUAC
rnacentral:rRNA from 1 species